rnacentral:rRNA from 1 species
GACGAACGCUGGCGGCGUGCCUAAUACAUGCAAGUAGAACGCUGAAGGAGGAGCUUGCUCUUCUGGAUGAGUUGCGAACGGGUGAGUAACGCGUAGGUAACCUGCCUGGUAGCGGGGGAUAACUAUUGGAAACGAUAGCUAAUACCGCAUAACAGUAGAUGUUGCAUGACAUUUGCUUAAAAGGUGCAAUUGCACCACUACCAGAUGGCCCUGCGUUGUAUUAGCUAGUUGGUGGGGUAACGGCUCACCAAGGCGACGAUACAUAGCCGACCUGAGAGGGUGAUCAGCCAAACUGGGACUGAGACAAGGCCCAGAAUCCUACGGGAGGGAGCAGGAGGGAAACAUCGGAAAUGGACGGAAGUCUGACCGAGCAACGCCGCGUGAGUGAAGAAGGGUUUCGGAUCGUAAAGCUCUGUUGUAAGAGAAGAACGAGUGUGAGAGUGGAAAGUUCACACUGUGACGGUAUCUUACCAGAAAGGGACGGCUAACUACGUG